rnacentral:lncRNA from 1 species
CAUUCAGAUCGCCUCAGCCCUUGGCCUAAAGACCAUCAACGUGAUCCGAGACAGACCUGACAUCAAGAAGCUAACUGACAGACUGAAGGAUCUAGGAGCUGAUUAUGUCCUCACAGAGGAGGAGCUAAGGAUGCCCGAGACCAAAAACAUCUUCAAGGCCCGGAGGAACCAUGGUGACCUAUGGAGGAAUGGCCAAGCAGCCUGUAACAGCCUCUGUGAGUAUGCUCAUUUUUAAGGACCUCAAACUUCGUGGCUUUUGGUUGUCCCAGUGGAAGAAGAACCAUAGUCCAGAUGAGUUCAAGGAGCUGAUUCUCUUUCUCUGCAACCUCAUCCGCCAAGGCCAGCUCACAGCCCCUGCCUGGUCCGGGAUUCCACUGCAGGACUACCAGCAGGCUUUGGAAGCCUCCAUGAAGCCUUUUGUGUCUUCGAAGCAGAUUCUCACUAUGUGAUUACUCCAGAGGACCAGGAGGAAAGCAGGAGAGGCAGGCCAGCAAGAUUGGCUGGCUGCUGGCCCUCCAUGAGGACUCCAGACUGCCUCACCCUCACUGCCUCUUCCUACCAGGAGGGUGGGAGGCCAACCCCAGGGUCCCUAAUAAACCCUGGACUUCCC